GUGAGGAGUUUUGCGCAAUGGGGGCAACCCUGACGCAGCAACGCCGCGUGAGUGAAGAAGGCCUUCGGGUCGUAAAGCUCUGUCGGGCGGGAAGAAGGCGUGCAUAAACAACAAGUAUGCGCGUUGACGGUACCGCCGAAGGAAGCACCGGCUAACUCCGUGCCAGCAGCCGCGGUAAUACGGAGGGUGCUAGCGUUAUUCGGAAUUAUUGGGCGUAAAGCGCGCGUAGGCGGUUUUAUAAGUCAGAUGUGAAAUCCCCGGGCUUAACCCUGGAAGUGCAUUUGAAACUAUAGGACUUGAGUAUGGGAGAGGGAAGUGGAAUUCCUGGUGUAGCGGUGAAAUGCGUAGAGAUCAGGAGGAACACCGGUGGCGAAGGCGACUUCCUGGACCAAUACUGACGCUGAGGCGCGAAGGCGUGGGGAGCAAACAGGAUUAGAAACCCGAGUAGUCC
rnacentral:rRNA from 1 species